rnacentral:tRNA from 1 species
UGUUCUGUGGCGGAGUUGGUUAACGCGCCCUGUCUAGCGAACUUGGGGAGACGUGGGUUCAAAUCCCCCCAGAAUUA